UACGUAGGGGGCCGAGCGUUGUCCGGAGUUAUUGGGCGUAAAGCGCGCGCAGGCGGCCUCGCGCGCCCGACGUGAAAGCCCCCCGGCUUAACCGGGGAGGGUCGUUGGGGACGGCGGGGCUUGAGGGCGGGAGAGGUCGGUGGAAUUCCCGGUGUAGUGGUGAAAUGCGUAGAUAUCGGGAGGAACACCAGUGGCGAAGGCGACUACCUGGCCGUGUUCUUCGACGCUGAGGCGCGAA
rnacentral:rRNA from 1 species